rnacentral:lncRNA from 1 species
ACCCUCCCCUCUCCUUGGGAACCCACCCAGAGGUGCCCAGCCCCGAGCUGCCCCUCUGCAGACCCCCGGCACAGGUGCUGAUAGACCUCCGAGGUGCCCCCACCCCAUAGAGGGGCACUGUGGGGGCUCUGUGCAGCACACAGCGAUGUGCAGCCCCUCAGGUGCUGCAGGGGCUCAGGACCCCUCUAAGAGAGCUGGGACCACCCAAAACCAUCCCAGCUGCCCGGUGGGUGUUCCCAGGGGGACCCAUCCUCUGGCAUUCCAGGGCAGGGCGUGUGUGCUGCCCCCUGCCCCGGGAAGUACCAGCAGUGGUGUGGGUGGGAGGCGAGGGGCUGAGCGUCCCAUUCUGCACUUCUGGGAACUGUGAUGCUGCUGUGACUGCACCUUGGGGCAGCCCCGUGGAGUCCAGCCCACUAUAAGACCACAGCCCCCGGCUCUGCCGAGCCCACCAGAGGCACAAACAGAGAUGCUGGUGCUGGUGGGACUGGCGCUGUUCCUUGUGCCUGCAGAAUCCCUGACUGCCUUCCCCCCAAAGUUCCAGGUGGGGAAGCUCAACCAGGACGUGGUGGUGAGAUGUGACACUUCAGAGCAGCACAUCUACUGGACACUGAACGGGGAUGAGGAACCCAUGGCUGAACUGGUGCCUGAGGGCCAGAAGCUCACCAUCGUCGGCUUGGACCUGCCAGCCACUGGCAACUACAGCUGCUGGGCUGGCCCUGGUCACCUGCUGGACACCACCUACGUGGUGCUCAGCAGCACCCGUACGGAGGGGCCUGGCUGGGGGUGAUGGGGUGCAGGGGGUGGGGGGCUGAGGAGCAGGAGAUUCUCACACCCAGCCCAUGGCCAUGAGGAGCAGGAGAUUCUCACGGCCAUGAGGAGCAGGAGGUUCUCAUGGCCAUGAGGAGCAGGAGGUUCUCAUGGCCAUGAGGAGCAGGAGAUUCUCACGGCCAUGAGGAGCAGGAGAUUCUCAUGGCCAUGAGGAGCAGGAGAUUCUCAUGCCCAGCCCAUGGGCAUGAGGAGCAGGAGAUUCUCAUGGGCAUGAGGAGCAGGAGAUUCUCAUGGGCACGAGGAGCAGGAGAUUCUCAUGCCCAGCUCAUGGCCAUGAGGAGCAGGAGAUUCUCAUGGCCAUGAGGAGCAGGAGAUUCUCAUGGCCAUGAGGAGCAGGAGAUUCUCAUGGCCAUGAGGAGCAGGAGAUUCUCAUGCCCAGCCCAUGGCCAUGAGGAGCAGGAGAUUCUCAUGACCAUGAGGAGCAGGAGAUUCUCACACCCAGCCCAUGGCCAUGAGGAGCAGGAGACUCUCAUGCCCAGCCCAAGGCCAUGAGGGCUGUGGGGCCGAGGGGAUCCCCACCAGUGCCAUGCAGGGAGGGGGUCCCACUCCUGGCCUCAUGCAGCCCCUGACCAACCAUCCCUCAACCCCCCAGGCGAGGAGGAGCUCAACGUGUCCUGCCAGGCCGAGUCCUACAACGGCUCCUUCCACUGCUCCUGGCCCGGGCCCCCCUCUGCCAUCUUCCGUGCCCGCCUCAUACGCAGGUGGGUGCCCUGGAACCCCCCAAACCCACCCCAGCACCCCCACCACCCUGCCCUGAGGGUUGCUCACACCUCCCUGCCCACAGCGAUGGCUCCGUGGGGCCGUGGGUACCGGUGACCAGUGAGCAGGACCAGUUCAGCACCAGUUUGGCAGACACUUUGUUCUGCCCCUUCGGAGAGGAGCUGCGCCCGCUGCAGCUGCACCUGGAGGGGCUUUCGGACACCUCCUACCUCAACCUCUCCAGGCAUUUCUUCCUGCGUGACAUCGGUGAGCUCAGGGCAGGAGAAGUGGGGUGGGGGUGUCCAAGAGGUGCUGGAGGUUUUGGGUGGGGGGUCUCACCCCUGUUCUGAGCCCUCUGUGUGCACAGUGCGUCCUGAGCCGCCCCAGAAGCUGAUCCUGCAGCAGCGAGGGGAGCAGCUCCACCUGGCCUGGGCCCCCCCGGCCUCCUGGCCGCUCCCCAAGUCCUACUUUGCGCUGCUCUACCACCUGCAGUACGAGCUGCACAACGGCAGCCAGGUAAUGGGGGGAUCUCUGCCCCUGUGCGGGCACCCCAUGUGUCCACCCUGUGCCUCUUCCCUUCUUGGGGUGAUCAGUUGUCACCCCUGGGUGUCACCUCUGCUCCCCACAGCGCUGCCGGGCUCGGGGGGUGCUGGUGUCCCCCUCCCCGAGGGUCUCCCCAUGCCAUGCCCUGCUCCUUUUGCAGGUUGAGCAGUUCGUGGAGGGUGUGGAGGAGACGCCGGUGCCGGUGGGAGCGGGGUGGGUGCGGAUCAGCUGCCGGGACCCCUACACCCCCCCGGCCUGGAGCCCCUGGAGCGCCUGGAUGGGCCUCGAUGCACCCCAAUAACGGCGGUUUUGAGGGUGCUGACCCCACAAACCUGCUUUCCCCACAACCCCCAUGCCUUAACAGCUUGGAAAAAGGAUUUUUUUUUUUGC